rnacentral:rRNA from 1 species
AUUGAACGCUGGCGGCAGGCCUAACACAUGCAAGUCGAACGGUAACAGGAAGCAGCUUGCUGCUUUGCUGACGAGUGGCGGACGGGUGAGUAAUGUCUGGGAAACUGCCCGAUGGAGGGGGAUAACUACUGGAAACGGUAGCUAAUACCGCAUAACGUCGCAAGCCCAAAGAGGGGGACCUUAGGGCCUCUUGCCAUCGGAUGUGCCCAGAUGGGAUUGGCUAGUAGGUGGGGUAACGGCUCACCUAGGCGCCGAUCCCUAGCUGGUCUGAGAGGAUGACCAGCAACACUGGAACGAAGAAACGGUCCAGACUCCUACGGGAGGAGGAAGUGGGGAAUAUUGCACAAUGGGCGAAGGCCUGAUGCAGCAAUGCGGCGGGGAUGAAGAAGGCCUUCGGGUGGUAAAGUACUUUCAGCGGGGAGGAAGGAAGUAAAGUUAAUACCUUUGCUCAUUGACGUUACCCGCAGAAGAAGCACCGGCUAACUCCGU